rnacentral:rRNA from 1 species
GACGUAGGGCGCGAGCGUUGUCCGGAUUUAUUGGGCGUAAAGAGCUCGUAGGCGGCUUGUUGCGUCGGCCGUGAAAACCUGCAGCUUAACUGUGGGCGUGCGGGCGAUACGGGCAGACUGGAGUACUGCAGGGGAGACUGGAAUUCCUGGUGUAGCGGUGGAAUGCGCAGAUAUCAGGAGGAACACCGGUGGCGAAGGCGGGUCUCUGGGCCGAUACUGACGCUGAGGAGCGAAAGCGUGGGGAGCAAACAGG